GAUGAACGCUGGCGGCGUGCCUAAUACAUGCAAGUCGAGCGAAUGGAUUAAGAGCUUGCUCUUAUGAAGUUAGCGGCGGACGGGUGAGUAACACGUGGGUAACCUGCCCAUAAGACUGGGAUAACUCCGGGAAACCGGGGUUAAUACCGGAUAACAUUUUGAACCGCAUGGUUCGAAAUUGAAAGGCGGCUUCGGCUGUCACUUACGGAUGGACCCGCGUCGCAUUAGCUAGUUGGUGAGGUAACGGCUCACCAAGGCAACGAUGCGUAGCCGACCUGAGAGGGUGAUCGGCCACACUGGGACUGAGACUCGGCCCAGACUCCUACGGGAGGCAGCAGUAGGGAAUCUUCCGCAAUGGACGAAAGUCUGACGGAGUAACGCCGCGUGAGUGAUGAAGGCUUUCGGGUCGUAAAACUCUGUUGUUAGGGAAGAACAAGUGCUAGUUGAAUAAGCUGGCACCUUGACGGUACCUAACCAGAAAGCCACGGCUAACUACGUGCCAGCAGCCGCCGUAA
rnacentral:rRNA from 1 species